GACGAACGCUGGCGGCGUGCUUAACACAUGCAAGUCGAACGGUGAUCCACUUUCGGGUGGUGAUCAGUGGCGAACGGGAGAGUAACACGUGAGCAACCUGCCCCUGGCUCUGGGACAACCACUGGAAACGGUGGCUAAUACCGGAUACGACCAGCCAUCGCAGGGUGUGUGGGUGGCAAGUUUCUCGGCUGGGGAUGGGCUCGCGGCCUAUCAGCUUGUUGGGGGGGCGAUGGCCUACCAAGGCGACGACGGGUAGCCGGCCUGAGGGGGCGACCGGCAACAGAGGGACUGAGACACGGCCCCGAAUCCGACGGGGGGGAGCAGUGGGGAAGAUUGGAAAAUGGGCGCAAGCCUGAUGCAGCGGCGCCGCGUGAGGGAUGAAGGCCUUCGGGUUGUAAACCUCUUGCAGCUCCGAAGAAGGCGCACUGUUUGGUGUGGUGACGGUAGGAGCAGAAGAAGCACCGGCUAACUACGUGCCAGCCGCCGCCGUAAUAC
rnacentral:rRNA from 1 species